UAGUCCACGCCCUAAACGAUGUUUACUCGAUGUUUGGACAGUAAGUUUGAGCAUCCAAGGGAAACCAUUAAGUAAACCACCUGGGGAGUACGGCCGCAAGGCUAAAACUCAAAUGAAUUGACGGGGACCCGCACAAGCGGUGGAGCAUGUGGUUUAAUUCGAUGCAACGCGAAGAACCUUACCUACACUUGACAUCAUCAGAACUUGUUAGAGAUAACUCGGUGCCUUCGGGAACUGAUAGACAGGUGCUGCAUGGCUGUCGUCAGCUCGUGUCGUGAGAUGUUGGGUUAAGUCCCGNAACGAGCGCAACCCCUAUCCUUAGUUGCCAGCACGUUAUGGUGGGAACUCUAAGGAGACUGCCGGUGACAAACCGGNGGAAGGUGGGGAUGACGUCAAGUCAUCAUGGGCCCUUAUCGUGUAGGGGCUACACACGUGCUACAAUGGACGGUACAGA
rnacentral:rRNA from 1 species